rnacentral:rRNA from 1 species
AGAGUUUGAUCAUGGCUCAGAUUGAACGCUGGCGGCAUGCCUUACACAUGCAAGUCGAACGGUAACAGGUCUUCGGAUGCUGACGAGUGGCGAACGGGUGAGUAAUACAUCGGAACGUGCCCGAUCGUGGGGGAUAACGAGGCGAAAGCUUUGCUAAUACCGCAUACGAUCUACGGAUGAAAGCGGGGGAUCUUCGGACCUCGCGCGGACGGAGCGGCCGAUGGCAGAUUAGGUAGUUGGUGGGAUAAAAGCUUACCAAGCCGACGAUCUGUAGCUGGUCUGAGAGGAUGAUCAGCCACACUGGGACUGAGACACGGCCCAGACUCCUACGGGAGGCAGCAGUGGGGAAUUUUGGACAAUGGGCGAAAGCCUGAUCCAGCCAUGCCGCGUGCAGGAUGAAGGCCUUCGGGUUGUAAACUGCUUUUGUACGGAACGAAAAGCCUCUUUCUAAUAAAGAGGGGUCAUGACGGUACCGUAAGAAUAAGCACCGGCUAACUACGUGCCAGCAGCCGCGGUAAUACGUAGGGUGCAAGCGUUAAUCGGAAUUACUGGGCGUAAAGCGUGCGCAGGCGGUUUUGUAAGACAGAGGUGAAAUCCCCGGGCUCAACCUGGGAACUGCCUUUGUGACUGCAAGGCUGGAGUGCGGCAGAGGGGGAUGGAAUUCCGCGUGUAGCAGUGAAAUGCGUAGAUAUGCGGANGAACACCGAUGGCGAAGGCAAUCCCCUGGGCCUGCACUGACGCUCAUGCACGAAAGCGUGGGGANCAAACAGGAUUAGAUACCCUGGUAGUCCACGCCCUAAACGAUGUCAACUGGGUUGUUGGGGUCUUCACUGACUCAGUAACGAAGCUAACGNCGUGAAGUUGACCGCCUGGGGGAGUACGGCCGCAANAUUAAAACUCAAAGGAAUUGA